GACUGUAGCUCAGUGGUAGAACAUCUGCUUUACGUGCAGAAGGUCUCAGGUUCAUUCCCCAGGUAGACCCCUGACUGAAACU